GGACCCUUAGCUCAGUUGGUUAGAGCGCUUCCUUGACAUGGAAGAGGUCGUGAGUUCGAGUCUCUCAGGGUCCACCA
rnacentral:tRNA from 1 species